CACUGGAAAUCUAGCAAUUAGAUGUUUUAUUAAUUCAAUUUAUGUACUUAAAAAAACAUGAUCUUAAAAUUGACUUUUGACCCCUAUUUUGAAGUUACUGUCCUCUGCCUUUGUAGUGUCUGCAAAAAGUGAGAAGUCUGAAGUUUUUCCAAGGCAAAAAGCAGUAAUUUCCACAUUAUCAAUAUUCAGCUGCUCAUCACCAUUUACAAAACUUUUAUUGUAACACCUGUAUAAUGUUUUACUUUUUAAAAAUAAAUAAUGUUUUAAAUAAAAAGGUUCAAAAGAGAAAUAUGCAAUGAUGAUAAAAUAAGUGAUCCUUACAUUAAACUAAAACCGCCAGCAGGGGGUGGUAAGUAAGUAAUUAAGUGAGUGACACAUGGAGUCAUUGACUGUGUUUAUGAAUAGGUCAUUGAAUCACUGAAUCUCACUUCAAAGAUUCCUUCAAAGCCAAAGAUUCAUUCACAAUAACUGCCUCGCCUAAAGGACGAUUUGAUUUAUGUGAACGCCAGCCCAGCAGGUUGGAAUAAUGCUCAGAAUUCUUGUUGACUGUUGUGGAUUAAACAUCUUUGAUGACAUUCAUUGCCAUGGAUUUUAUUGGGUUACAAGAAAAGAGCCAAACCCACAGGAUUGUGUGUAUGUGCAGGGUAAACACUGAAACACCCUCGUAAAUGACACA